UGUACUCAACUGAUGUAAUAUCAUUUCCCUUUUUAAACAAAAAAACCCUAAAUCCUAAAAACCAUUUCUUUCUCCUUCUUCUGCCUCGCGUGCCGCCAUUACCCUCACCUCUGAUUCGCACCACCACCAAACCAUACUUUCAUCAAAAUGGAGAAGAGGAAACAGAAUCAGAAACACGUCGACGCUGGCCAUAGCCUUCUUCCCCACGAUAGAUCUCCACGAAAGCCCCAACAGCCGCGAACGGUGCAGUCCAUCGCCACACAUUGAAAGGUAACGCCGGAACAACACCACGAACCGCCACCACACAUGCAAACGCCCAACGCUCAACCACACAACUUAGGUGAAAUCCAUCAUCAAAACAGACGACAUCGAAGCAACCUGAUAAUUGCGGUCUUUUUCAUUGUAGUCGGGAAUAUAGUGGUGGCUUAUUGACAACAUUCUCAGAUUUAAAAUGCAGUUGCGGGAAGUUUAUGUCCCAGAAGAUAUAUUUGUCUCAUAAUGAAACGAUUCACAAUUUUGAUAGAUUCGUUGUAGAUGCAGUAACUUUUUGUAUUUCCGAUGCUCUAAGUUUGAAACCAGAUAGUUUUCAAAACUUUAUUUGUCAAUCAAUGAAUCUUUUUAGGAUUGAAAACUCAAUGCUAUCAAGUUUAUCACCGUAGAUGUCACUCACAAGGAGAUUGUUGGUUUGUUGAAGCUCUCCUUAAUCUCAACGUCUCCAUUGACAUACAUGUUUUUGCUGAAGAAACAAUAUUUUGAGAAUACACAACUUAAUCAUGUCUUAAAUUUUGAUAAUGGUGUUGCAGAAGAAAAUGACAGAAAGGAAAUUGAAGUUAAGCUCUGGCAAUGGACAAGGAAGGGCUUUUGAUACAAGAAAUGAUAGAGAAAAAACAAGAGGGCGUGGUGGUGGUGGUGCGAGUGGAUCGAGAAAGGAUAAAAUUGAUGCUCUUUGGUAGGCUCAUGUAAGCACGCCUUUGCCCUCUGAUAGUUUUUGUUUUCUUAAACAUUUUUUUUAUAUAAAUUUAUUCAUUUAUAGCUACUGAAUGUGAGUUUCAUUUGUUAUUGUUCUUUUGUUUCUGAAAUGAAGUGGAUAUUAUCAUUCUUUUCAUGUAUGGAGAUAAGUUUGUCAAUCUGUCACACUUUGAUUAAGGAAGGACGCAUUUUUAUGGAAUGUCUCUUGCACUACAGGAAAAAAAGGCCUCCUGCCACGCCCAGAAAACCGAGGCUAUACGCAAAAUAACCGUGGCGUAACGCUGAGGCCACGGUUUGGCCACGGAAAUCCAACUGUGGAGUAUACGACCGUGGCCUAAAGUAAAGUCCACGGUUUUUUGGUAUAGACCACGCCUUUUUUACAACCGUGGCUUUUUUAGGCCACGGUUUAGGUAGCUUGAUUAAGGCCGCGGUUUGUACUUGCCAUGACUUAAAAACUGUGGCUAUAUGGUAAAGCCACGGUUUCAUUUUAACGUUUACGACACAGUAUUAGUUCAAGAUAUAGCCACGGUUUGGUUAUGACCACCUAUUUAAAACCGUGGUUAUGUUUUAUGCAUUCUAAACCAUUAAUCUUGCCACGGUUUA